GGGACGUUGUCUCCCUCUAGUGGUGACACGGGGCUCAGGCUCCACCCUCCUCUGCACAGCCUCCUCCGGCUGUGUAACGAAACUCCUGCAGGUUGGACACACCGUGGAAGUGCACAAAAGCACCUGCUACCACCAGGAUAUGGAACAGCUGAUGAGAGUGGAACUGCAAAAUAAUGACAAGGACAUCGACUCACCCAGAUGUCACAUUUGCCAGGGAAGAAUCUCUCUGGGAUGCGUGCAGCGUACAGGCAGGCUCCGGUGAUGUACAGGACGGCCAUGAGGAACAGCCAGCCCAUCUGACCCAUGGUGGUGGCCCUCAGGAAGCCCUCAGUGAUCAUAAAGUGCAGCGUGGGGACGACCCCACUGAGGCCCAGACCCACAAACACACCUGAGACAAAGAAGACAGGACAGAGUGAGACAGUGUCUUACCAGCCCUGACUCCACGGUACUGUGGUGUGGCGAAGAAAUCACACUGUGAGACUGUGAUGGCAGCGACCCCCAGGAUACACACCACUAUCAGUGAGUGUUGCAGGUGCUUACUUUGAGAAGACACGGGACACCCCCUCUGAGUGGCAGUAGACUGUGUGAAAGAGCCAGGAGAAGGACAGGCAGAGAAUGGCUCCCAGGAAGAAUGCACCGAUGACAAUCUUCUCCUGGAACGGGGCCACAAACGACAUAUUGGGCCUGAACAUGUACACAAUGCCCAGACAGAGAAAGAACAGGCAGCCUGUAGACACAAGGGAAAUGCUGGUUACAUGUAUGUGUGUGUUAAGAGUUCAAUCUCAAAACUCCUAUAAAUGCUAAUAGUCAUUCAGUCAGUUGUACAUAGGCCCUUGCUCUCUAUAGGUCAAGGCAAUAAAUCAAUAAAUGUACAAAGUGUAAAAUCGAAAUCAAACUGAACUCAAGUAAGCUUAGCAGUUUCUAGUAGAUCAACAUCAAACAUCUGUUUUGUCCAUUAUGGGCUCAGUCACAACACGAGUCCAAAGGUGUAGAAGAUCAAUAGCUGCACAUUACGAUCUCAUCUCACAAUCAAUACCAUUACCUAGACCCACAGUCUAUUGUUUAGCAUGACUUUGUACAGAUAUAUAAUACCUCUUAUACCUUACAGCCUCUGCAUUCAAUGUUAUGUGAAGAAUGACUACAUUUCUCCACUAGGUGGCAGUACAGCAUGCAGAAAAUAAAGUUUUUGAUGUAGUUUCCAUUUC